rnacentral:rRNA from 1 species
AUUGAACGCUGGCGGUAGGCCUAACACAUGCAAGUCGAACGAGUGGCGGACGGGUGAGUAAUGUCUGGGAAACUGCCCGCUGGCGGGGGAUAACUACUGGAAACAGUAGCUAAUACCGCAUACCAUCGGAUGAGCCCAGAUGGGAGUAGCUAGUAGGUGGGGUAACGGCUCACCUAGGCGACGAUCCCUAGCUGGUCUUAGAGGAUGACCAGCCACACUGGAACUGAGACAGGGUCCAGACUCCUACGGGAGGCAGCAGUGGGGAAUAUUGCACAAUGGGCGCAAGCCUGAUACAGCCAUGCCGCGUGUAUGAAGAAGGCCUACGGGUUGUAAAGUACUUUCAGCGAGGAGGCGUUACUCGCAGAAGAAGCACCGGCUAACUCCGUGCCAGCAGCCGCGGUAAUUC